rnacentral:rRNA from 1 species
AUGCAAGUCGAACGCUCGUAGCAAUACGGGAGUGGCAGACGGGUGAGUAACGCGUGGGAACAUACCCUCCGGUUCGGAAUAGCUCAGGGAAACUUGGAUUAAUACCGGAUACGGCUGAGAGGCGAAAGAUUUAUCGCCGGAGGAUUGGCCCGCGUUCGAUUAGCUAGUUGGUGAGGUAACGGCUCACCAAGGCGAUGAUCGAUAGCUGGUCUGAGAGGAUGAUCAGCCACAUUGGGACUGAGACACGGCCCAAACUCCUACGGGAGGCAGCAGUGGGGAAUAUUGGACAAUGGGCGCAAGCCUGAUCCAGCCAUGCCGCGUGAGUGAUGACGGCCUUAGGGUUGUAAAGCUCUUUCGCUCGGGACGAUAAUGACGGUACCGAGAUAAGAAGCCCCGGCUAACUUCGUGCCAGCAGCCGCGGUAAUACGAAGGGGGCUAGCGUGGUUCGGAAUUACUGGGCGUAAAGCGCGUGUAGGCGGGUCUUUAAGUCAGGGGUGAAAUGCCAAGGCUCAACCUUGGAACUGCCUUUGAUACUGGAG